rnacentral:tRNA from 1 species
AGUUGAAUAGCUUAAGAAAAGCAUAUACUUUGAAAGUAUAUAAAGGAGGUUUAAUUCCUCCAUCAACUU